rnacentral:lncRNA from 1 species
CAUCUAAACAAUAACAAAGCUCUCGGAUUCCAACAAAAUGAACAUGCCUCACAGUACAGUAUAAGAACAUAAAUGAAGAGCUAGAUGAAGUCCUUUGCAUUAGCCCGUUUAAGCGCGUAUGGUGUAAAGUGUAAAGUCUCUAAUCUAAAUUGGGAAGUCAGCAAAAUAUAAGAAAGUAGGAGUACUUCUCAAGCGCACACAAUAGAUAAAUCGUUUCCUAUGUAUAUAGUUGCCACAUGCACAGGCUUUGCAAUCAAUUCCAUCCUCAAAUAAAUAUUUAACUGCAAGAAAAAUUGUAUUAAAAAAAGUUAAUCUGAGAAGCACAUAACUAUUGGCGUUCAACAUACAAAGUUCUUUACAAUACACAUAGAACAAAUAAAAUGAAGAGCGCCAAAGCAAACAACUUCGGAGAAAAAGAAACAGAUAUAAGCCAAGUACAGUAGCAGUAAGAUCCGCAACCUGCAACAAAAAAUGAUGACCCUAAGCACAGGGAUUAUUUUUAUUUUAUUUUUUAACACGGAAGCACAAACUGUUUUCCUAAAAAUACACAGUCAAGUUGCCUCGAAUAAAAUAGUGCAGAAUUAAAGGCCUUGCGAAAUCAACCUAUCUUCUGGUGCUGGCGUUCCCUGUUCUCUAUGGGCGAGACGAGGAGAGGCACGACCCGAUCUGGAUAUGCCUAGAGCUAGACAAGCACGCGAUAUGAAUACCUAUAUCACAUCACACAAACGAGACAACAAUAAAAGCUACUCAAUCGACCAAAAAUCCAUCGACCUAAUUCACAAGUAAAAUUCCAAGAUUGCACCAAGAGACGGGGAGAGGCACGACCCGAUCUGGAUAUGCCUGGAGCUAGACAAGCACGCGAUAUGAAUACCUAUAUCACAUCACACAAACGAAACAACAAUAAAAGCUACUCAAUCGACCAAAAAUCCAUCGAC